AGGGGUGGAGAGACGGCCUUUCCCGACAGCUGAAGCUGGGAGGGCCGAUCCUGGCCCUCCGCUCCACUCCAGUCCUGAGGGAGGGGCCUGGCAACACCUCACUUCCAACUGAAAGGAGACACCUCUGUGGUUUCAAGGCCCCUAGUUUGUUGCACAGGUUACAAGCAGUCGGGAAAACUAAUACAACUGCCAAAUAGCACAAUUAUUUUUCCUCAGCAGAAAGGGAAACAGCUGCAGUUUGUACCGACUCUUGCCACCUUCCCUCCUACUCAGCCGCACCUGAGCUUGCCCGGCGAGGAUGCGUGAGGGGCUGGAGGGAGGCCCCGCUGGGACAGGCAUCUGUCUGUGCUUCCAUCUUGCCUGCCUUGCUGGACACCCUGUUUCACGGUGGGGGCCCACUGCCGCCCCCAGGCACCGAGCCAGCACCCACCGUGUCCAGAACUCACAGGGUCAUCAAGGCAGAGUGUCUGAGGUGGUUCUAAAACCUGUCCCCAGAGUCUGUGACAUUCCUCCUUUCCAAAGGUGGAGCCUCACCUACUCCCACCCCCCCACCCCCGGCCCUGAGGGUAGGCUGUUCUUAAUGACUCACUUCUUUUUCCUGACUAGUUCACGCCCAUGCCAGCCGACUUGGAAGUGGGUACUCCAAGCCCACGCAGCCUCCAGACAACCUCCACUGAUGUCCUGACUGCAGCCUCCUGAGAGGCUCUGUGCCAGAACCACCCAGCUCCUGGAGUCCUGACUCGACAAACGAUGUUUGUUGUUUUCAGCCACUGCUUGGACUCACUUGUUACACAGCAGUAGGUAACGAAUACAGCUCUAACUGGCUUCCCAGGAGUCCCCCGUUUCUUUGCUGCUCUUUGUUAAGCAGAAGCCUGAUUGCUUUUCUGCAGAGGAUUCCCCAUCAUCUCCCAACCUCAGAGGCUCCAUAUGGUGACUGACCCUCAGUGCCUUACCAGGGCCGCCUAAGAGAUUUCUGAUGUCUCCACCUUACUGGAGACUGUGUGUCCUGGGUUCUGACUUUCUCAUCUCUCCCUGGACAGGGGAAGGUGGGGAGAUGGUCCCCAUGUUGGGGCCAGAUCUGUGUCUGUGAACUGUCAGCUGCCUAAUGGGGUCCACAGAGCCAUGGGACACACCCUGGGAUUCUAGGACCACCCCUGAUCCAAGCAAGACCCACAGCCAUGGUGAGAAGGGCAGGCCUCAGACCUCAGACCUUGAUCUUCCUCUGCAGUGGCAAGCUGAGAGCCCGGCCCACAGGAGGGCGCAGCCCUGGGGGAGCUGGGGUGGCCCCACCUGCAGCAGAGGUCCUGGCCUCCUCUCUCCCACCCCCACUGUCUCCUGGGGCUCCGGAGGAGAAAGUGGGCUUGCGUGCUGUUUAUAUGCUCUUUUCUUAAAAUCGCCAUUGUCAUGAGAACUGUUCGCACUUGUGGCGAUGACACACAGGGUGGAGUUUCCAGGGGGACGCUUGCACAGGCAGUGGCCUCGCAGCUCAUCUGACCCCACAGAUGCAGGACACACACUGGGACAGUUCAACCGU